rnacentral:lncRNA from 10 species
GGUAUCCUUUCCCCUUUAGGAUGGAAGCAAUGAGCACCCACUUAGAACUGCCCUCCUAGGGCAUGGAGCCAUGACCGCACCAGGCUGCUCUGAGGACGGGAGUGCUCUCAGUGGUUCCCGGAGCCAGGAGGGAGAGUCACAAACCCAAGCAAAGCUAAUAGAAGCCGAGUGUGGAUAAAUGCUGUAAUCAAGGUUCAAACAAUUCAAUGAAACAGGAAGGAAGUAGUUCAUUCUGCCCAGACAGACCAGGAGCGAUCUUUGAGUGGAGGCUGGACGAGAAUCUGGCCUGAAGAAGUGGCGGAAGACUGAGAGGCACAACUGGAGGCAAAAAAGAUUUUCUAUCUCCAGAGCAUUGAGAGCUCUUUGGAAGCAAAGACUCGUGGUGUGAUAAGGGAGGUCCUGCAGCAAAUCUCCUACUUCUGAGCUUUGGAGGAGCCAGUGCGAUCAAACCCCGAGUAAAGGGGACCAUGCUGGGAGAACUGCUGAUAUAUGCUCAUUUGCAAGGACUGAAGCAGAAAAGAUGAAAUAAGCUUGAAGAAAGAAGGGAAGAAUGAUAGAGGUGACAGUGUUUUAGUCCCAGUUUGCCUGUUGCAAAGAAAUGGACAACUGUGCUUAUUGACUGCCUCCCCCCCGAUUCCCUGUAAAUCAUCCCUUUGCAGCUUGUGUCCCAAAUAACUUAUAAACAAUGUCUCCUUUACUCAGCUCUCCAAAAACAAUCCCUUUGUUUAACCACAAUUUGCAAAAACAAUUUCUUCAUUGUAAAUAAAUCCCUAGACUCUACAAUAUGCCCUGAUCCAGGAAAACACAGGAACAUAUUUUAUAAAGCUCUGUGUAUUUCCAAACAAGGGACAUUGUUUCACCAUAGAAACUCUAUUUUUAAAAAUCCUAUUGACAGUAAAGCAUAGAGAGCACGCUUCUGGUGUGAAGAUAAAGGCAGCCCAGAAGUGAGAUGCCCUGGGGAAGGUAAAGUGGAGAAGAGAACUCAGAACCAUUUGCUCCAUCUGUUCAGUCCAUCACCCAAGGGUCUCAGAGCGUGACUUGCAGCGCUGGGGCCAAAUAGAAAAGGGCCUGCCGGAGAUAGCUCGAGCUGGUUGGACAGAAGCCUAACCAUCCUGGAGAUCAGGAAGACAUAGCUCAGCUGUAAUAGCCUCUCCGGCAGGCCAGGGCUGCCAUGGCAGGUGGGCAGGCUUCCUGAGUCAGGGUCUGAGGGGUGCUGCUCCCUGGUGCACCCACAACCCUGUAGUGAAGGGCAAGGCUGCCUGUAUAAUCAGAGAGGGUCACACAUAGCAAUACCCCUCCUAGCUGGCAGUGAGGGAUUUGGUGGAUCACUGAGACCCUUAUUCUACUUUCUCUCCUACCAAAGAGCUUGUUUGCCUGCUCAUCUCUGCUCACUGGGGUUUCUGAGAGAGGAUAUUGUCUUCCUAAGAGUACAUGGCACUGGGGGAGCCUGAGUAUUCAAUCCUCAGCCCCCAUCAGCCACUGGUGAGAGCUGCUCCUGGUGGUGUUACCUACCCAGCAAUCCAGCCUGCCCUAGAAUGGGGACAAGCACAUUCAAAGCCACAGAAUGCCAUCAGCGGGGGAGCCUUAGCUGCUUGCAAUAGCAAUCUAUGAGCAUAGAAAGCAAUGAGGAGAGCUGGGGUACUAUAGCCAGGGCCCUGACAGUAUCUACUCUGGUCUGAACUGCACACAGGCCAUAUCAAAUAAAAUGUCCCUUGCCUAUGUGCCCAGGUCUUAGCAUUAUUUUUUCUAGGACCUUUUCUGAGAUGUGACACACACAUCACUGCCUUCUAGAGAGCCUUCAGAAUAUUACCCAUGCCUUUCUCAAUUACUCAGUUACUGAGCUCACCCAAAGGCAGUAGGGACAAGAGGUGGAUCCUAUGACCCCAGGCCCUGCCUAGUCCCUCAAAUAAUGUCUGCUGAAGACACACAGCCCCCUGAGGCUAAUUGAAACUCCCAUGGCCUCCCUGAAUCGGGGAAGAGUCGGAA